CAAAUAAUACUAGAUAAUUAAAGUAGCUUCACUGUAUGCAGCAAAGUUUAUGUAACGAAUGACCAGUUCUUUUUGCUGAAAGAUGUGUCUGCUUCUCAUGUGUAGUAAGGUUAAAUACACUUUCUUAGCGAAUCUGUCCCUGGAGUACUACUGUUGCGUUUCUUAUUAUUAAAUGCUUCACAGCUAACACAUUCAUCUGCCCAUUAAAAAUGCUGCAAUAAUAUUGGGACAAUUAAAAGUAAGAAACGCUGGGAUAUUUCAUACAUUUUGGCCAGUGAUAGUAAUUUAAUAUUGUAUUAUUUAAAGAUGGACACAUGAAACACAGAUUAAGUAGUGUGCACAUAUGUGAACAAAGGUCUGAAAACUGAAAGGUAAGUCUGUGAAAGAUCAUAUAAAACUGUCAUCAGAACAUAUGCUCCUUAAACACAUUUGUGUUUCCUUUUCAUCAUUAACAUGGCUCUAAUGAGAAGGCAGCAAAAUGGUACAAUGGAGCCAACUGUGCAAAACAUCCCCUUUUCAUCGUGUCAACAGAUGUUGCUUGUAGAAAGGUGAAGGGGGGAUGAUGUCAACCAAAAGGCAUAGGGAAGCCAGUUGAGCUCCACAUCUUGCCAUCCUUCACUGAUAUAACACUCACAGUACAGUACAGCUUUUAGUACUUUGAUUGCUGGACAAAUGUCAUGCUAUAAUAUAGCACCUCCUGGCAGGAGAUCUACCUUUUAUGUGUUCUGUAGCAUGAACUAUGAAUAUGUAUUAGCACAAUCUGUUAUGUGGCAAGGAAUAGAAGGAGGUUCCAAGAGAGUUUACUUCAGCUGUAAACCUGAAAAGUAAUAUAUAGGAAACAUAGUGAGUGCGUGUAUCUGUCUUCCAAAUGGGCUGUUAAAAGUGACCUUGAAAAUAAAUUGAAACAGCCCUAAUGGUAUGUUUUAGAUAUCUGUAUAGAAAACGACAACAGUUUCCUUUUUUUUAAAUCCAUUCUAAUUGGUGAAGAAACUGUUCACAGACAAAAGUCCCAUAUAAAUGAAAUAUAAAAAUCCAUUUAAAUACUGACCCCUAGACGCUUCUUAUUAAAAUUUUCUCCUGAUACUACAGAUAGUAGUGAAAUAUUCAAAAGCAUCUGUCUCCACAAGAAGUGAAACAUACUUUAAAUGUGGGGAACUUAAAACAUUUUAGGAAUAGGCUUCUGAUGAGUUGCCUCUCUGAAUUUCUGAGUUCUCUCAUUUUGAUACGGUCCACUUAUCCUGCUGCCCAGAGGGGUUUCCAUAAGGAACAAGUUAAGUUUCAGAUGCACAAGAAGUGACGGCACUUUUUUACCACUUUACCAAAUUGAGAGCUUAAUAAAGUUUAAAUAUAAAUAUUUAGAUUUUAAAAAUUUAAAUAUUGCCAUAGCUAUUUUAAUUGUACCCCUGUAUGCAAAAUUAAAAUAGUAUUUGUGAGCUCAUUUAAAAUUUUCAUUGAACUUGAAUUAUAUAAUAAAGAAAUCCAACAUGGAAGUAUCUCUGCUGAAGCUAUGUCUGCUGAAAACCUUUACCUUGCACUAACUUAUUUUUCUUCCCACAGUGGUCUCUAAAUGCUAUAAUGCGUUGUGAGUAGCAAUCACUGUGAGCAAUAUGCCAAGCGACCCCAGUACUCCAGCAGGCUGCUAGACCAGGAGUUCAACUUGGCAGUGGUACUGUCUUCAGGAGGCCUGAAGCAAUAAUUCCACCUUCCAGCUGUAGAUGAAUCUGCUGUACAGAUGAAUCAGCAACGGAAGCUUCUACCAGUGUCUGUGUUGUGGUGAGGGUUCGUCUGACUUUAAUCCAGUAAUGUAUCAAGGUGGGCUAAGGUCGGGACUAUGGAGGAUCCUGCAUAGUGAAGGCAGAUGGGAUGCCUUGUCGCUAUUGUUCUAUGGUCCUGUGCUAAGGGGUGUGGAAGGUUAUAGUCCCUGGG